GUGUGGGCACGCACAGGCGGAGAUGACCUGGGUUAAACAGAGGUCCGUAAAUGUGGUGCCAUUUACAAGUAAGGUCCACUCGGAUGGGUAACAAAAGAAACAGGGCACGGGAAUGCUUAAAGAAGAUCGCUGUAAUGUGAGAGAGAAUGAGUUUCUUUCAGUAAGUUAAGUCUCUAAACCAAGAUAUGAUGUUUUGUGUGGUGGGUACCUCUCAACUGUCCAGACUAUUGUAGAAUGUUCCUGGCUGGGUUUUCGUACACCACACCUUGCCUUACAAAGGACCAUGGCACAAUAUAGCUGCAUACUUCAUACAGGACUCCUGUUUUGCACACCACAGUCUAUCUCUGUGACCUUUUCCCAGAAACAUUACACCAUCUAUCACAUCCCCAAAAAUAAUUUAAGGAAUAAACCUUUGCUCCCUUGUAAACUAUA